rnacentral:ncRNA from 1 species
AAUAUCGGUGCGUAUGGAAUCAUACGAUAAUAGGGAAUUGGGUGAAAAUCCCAAACAGUCCUGCUGCCGUAAUGAAUGAGCGCCUCUCCUGCCGCAAGGUGACCACUGGAUGAACUCCGGGAAGGGGAGAGUGACGCGAUGAAUUCAAAGUCGGAAAACCUGCCGGUGUUGGU